rnacentral:rRNA from 1 species
UACGUAGGGCGCAAGCGUUGUCCGGAAUUAUUGGGCGUAAAGAGCUCGUAGGCGGUGUGUCGCGUCGGAUGUGAAAGCCCGGGGCUUAACCCCGGGUCUGCAUUCGAUACGGGCAGACUGGAGUGUGGUAGGGGAGAUCGGAAUUCCUGGUGUAGCGGUGAAAUGCGCAGAUAUCAGGAGGAACACCGGUGGCGAAGGCGGAUCUCUGGGCCAUUACUGACGCUGAGGAGCGAAAGCGUGGGGAGCAAACAGG